rnacentral:tRNA from 1 species
ACUCAAAAUUAGCACUUUAAGCAACAGAAUAAA